rnacentral:lncRNA from 1 species
CUUCAAUAUCCUCAAACUUUAUGCUGUUUGAAGCACCAAUAGAGAUAAAAUUUCUUUCCUUGCAUCUUGCUUCCUUUGGAAGUUAGAAAAAAACUUGGUGAGAGAAAACCCUUCAAAAACCCUUCACUCUAUCACUGCAAAACUGUUUCAGAAAUUAUAAUAUUGCCAGCUGGUCACAGCUGCUUCCUUGAGCAUUUGUUGUUAUAUCAGACCUUGCUCAUGCUGAUGCCAGGAGUAUGUUCUGGAGGGGAAGCAAAGCGUUAUUACUAAUAGUGCUCAUUCUUCUGUUGUCACAGAAUCACUGGGAUCUGCUCUUUGAACUGGGCUCUGCAGAAAGAAAGUUGCAGAUAUUGAACUUCAAAGCAAGAGAUAACUGAGAGAAAUAAAUGUUCCAAAUGGUGGAGUGUAUUCUGUAAGCACUUGGGAGACCAGCCUUAGUGAGAGACUGGAACAGAAACUGCACUGAAGUGAAAUAAUUGCUCAAGGGGUUGAUGUAUUUUCUGCAGGCACUCAUACGUCACCAGAGUUCUCUGGAAAUGGUUUGAAUUGCUUGUCUUCCAGACAUUUGGCAGAAAUCACAUGGAGAUGUGGGGGUGUUACAUCUGUUCAUGGCUAAGGAUGGCCUUCAGAAGAAGAUUUUUACUUGCCUUCUCAAAUCAUUUGGAGUUACAUCUGCUUCUUUGCAAGGAUGUUUCUCAUCUGGUGGAAGAAUUCAUACUGAAGCAAGAGACAGAAGCCUGGAAUCUUUAUUUGAUAUCAAAAAGUAAUGCUGGAAAAACUGCACUGAGGAAAGAGUCUUCAGAGACAUUU